rnacentral:rRNA from 1 species
AGCGCAGGCGGUUUGUCAAGUCAGAUGUGAAAGCCCACGGCUCAACCGUGGAAGUGCAUUUGAAACUGGCAGACUUGAGUAUCAGAGGGGAAAGUGGAAUUCCCGGUGUAGAGGUGAAAUUCGUAGAUAUCGGGAGGAAUACCGGUGGCGAAGGCGACUUUCUGGCUGAAUACUGACGCUGAGGCUCGAAAGCGUGGGGAGCAAACAGGAUUAGAUACCCGAGUAGUCC